UCGAGCGAGAAAGGGAGCUUCGGUUCCUGAGUAAAGCGGCGAACGGGUGCGUAACACGUGGGUGAUCUGUCCUUAAGGUGGGGAUAACUCAGCGAAAGCUGGGCUAAUACCCAAUGAGACCACAGAAAGCAAUUUCAGGGGUCAAAGAGUGCUUCUUCUAGGAGCAUUUGUUUGAGGAGGAGCCCGCGACCUAUCAGCUUGUUGGUAGGGUAACGGCCUACCAAGGCAAAGACGGGUAGCUGGUCUGAGAGGAUGACCAGCCACACGGGGACUGAGACACGGCCCCGACUCCUACGGGAGGCAGCAGUGGGGAAUAUUGGGCAAUGGGGGAAACCCUGACCCAGCGACGCCGCGUGGGUGAUGAAGGCCUUCGGGUCGUAAAGCCUUGUCAGGAGGAACGAAUGUUUCUAGGGUAAAUAGCCUUAGAAAGUGACGGUACCUCUGAAGGAAGCACCGGCCAACUCCGUGCAGCAGCCGCGGUAAGACGGAGGGUGCAAGCGUUGCUCGGAAUCAUUGGGCGUAAAGGGUGCGUAGGCGGCUUUUUAAGUCUGACGUGAAAGCCCAAGGCUCAGCCUUGGAAGUGCGCCAGAAACUGAAAGGCUAGAGUGCCGGAGGGGAGAGUGGAAUUCCUGGUGUAGCGGUGAAAUGCGUAGAUAUCAGGAGGAAUACCGGUGGCGAAAGCGACUCUCUGGACGGUAACUGACGCUGAGGCACGAAAGCGUGGGGAGCAAACA
rnacentral:rRNA from 1 species